UAACGCGAAGAACCUUACCAGGUCUUGACAUACUAUGCAAAUCUAAGAGAUUAGACGUUCCCUUCGGGGACAUGGAUACAGGUGGUGCAUGGUUGUCGUCAGCUCGUGUCGUGAGAUGUUGGGUUAAGUCCCGCAACGAGCGCAACCCUUAUUAUCAGUUGCCAACAUUAAGUUGGGCACUCUGGUGAGACUGCCGGUGACAAACCGGAGGAAGGUGGGGAUGACGUCAAAUCAUCAUGCCCCUUAUGACCUGGGCUACACACGUGCUACAAUGGAUGGUACAACGAGUUGCGAACUCGCGAGAGUAAGCUAAUCUCUUAAAGCCAUUCUCAGUUCGGAUUGUAGGCUGCAACUCGCCUACAUGAAGUCGGAAUCGCUAGUAAUCGCGGAUCAGC
rnacentral:rRNA from 1 species